GGAGGGUCCAACCGACGGCCGGCGACGGUACCUGCUUCGAGUACAGGCGAGCACCCGCUCUUGAGGGUUCGAUCCCCUCACCCUCCG
rnacentral:tRNA from 1 species